rnacentral:rRNA from 1 species
GGAGGCAGCAGUGGGGAAUAUUGCACAAUGGGCGCAAGCCUGAUGCAGCGACGCCGCGUGAGGGAUGGAGGCCUUCGGGUUGUAAACCUCUUUUAUCGGGGAGCAAGCGAGAGUGAGUUUACCCGUUGAAUAAGCACCGGCUAACUACGUGCCAGCAGCCGCGGUAAUACGUAGGGUGCAAGCGUUAUCCGGAAUUAUUGGGCGUAAAGGGCUCGUAGGCGGUUCGUCGCGUCCGGUGUGAAAGUCCAUCGCUUAACGGUGGAUCCGCGCCGGGUACGGGCGGGCUUGAGUGCGGUAGGGGAGACUGGAAUUCCCGGUGUAACGGUGGAAUGUGUAGAUAUCGGGAAGAACACCAAUGGCGAAGGCAGGUCUCUGGGCCGUUACUGACGCUGAGGAGCGAAAGCGUGGGGAGCGAACAGGAUUAGAUACCCUGGUAGUCCACGCCGUAAACGGUGGAUGCUGGAUGUGGGGCCCGUUCCACGGGUUCCGUGUCGGAGCUAACGCGUUAAGCAUCCCGCCUGGGGAGUACGGCCGCAAGGCUAAAACUCAAAGAAAUUGACGGGGGCCCGCACAAGCGGCGGAGCAUGCGGAUUAAUUCGAUGCAACGCGAAGAACCUUACCUGGGCUUGACAUGUUCCCGACGGUCGUAGAGAUACGGCUUCCCUUCGGGGCGGGUUCACAGGUGGUGCAUGGUCGUCGUCAGCUCGUGUCGUGAGAUGUUGGGUUAAGUCCCGCAACGAGCGCAACCCUCGCCCCGUGUUGCCAGCGGAUUAUGCCGGGAACUCACGGGGGACCGCCGGGGUUAACUCGGAGGAAGGUGGGGAUGACGUCAGAUCAUCAUGCCCCUUACGUCCAGGGCUUCACGCAUGCUACAAUGGCCGGUACAACGGGAUGCGACGCGGCGACGCGGAGCGGAUCCCUGAAAACCGGUCUCAGUUCGGAUCGCAGUCUGCAACUCGACUGCGUGAAGGCGGAGUCGCUAGUAAUCGCGAAUCAGCAACGUCGCGGUGAAUGCGUUCCCGGGCCUUGUACACACCGCCCGUCAAGUCAUGAAAGUGGGCAGCACCCGAAGCCGGUGGCCUAACCCCUUGUGGGAUGGAGCCGUCUAAGGUGAGGCUCGUGAUUGGGACUAAGUCGUAACAAGGUAGCCGUACCGGAAGGUGCGGCUG